ACGGAACUUGCCAGAGAUGGCUUGGUGCUCGAAGAGAGCCGUAACACAGGUGCUGCAUGGCUGUCGUCAGCUCGUGUCGUGAGAUGUUGGGUUAAGUCCCGCAACGAGCGCAACCCUUGUCAUUAGUUGCUACGAAAGGGCACUCUAAUGAGACUGCCGGUGACAAACCGGAGGAAGGUGGGGAUGACGUCAAGUCCUCAUGGCCCUUAUGGGUAGGGCUACACACGUCAUACAAUGGCCGGUACAAAGGGCAGCCAACCCGCGAGGGGGAGCCAAUCCCGUAAAGCCGGUCGUAGUCCGGAUCGCAGUCUGCAACUCGACUGCGUGAAGUCGGAAUCGCUAGUAAUCGUGGAUCAGAACGCCACGGUGAAUACGUUCCCGGGCCUU
rnacentral:rRNA from 1 species